rnacentral:rRNA from 1 species
UACGAGGGGUGCAAGCGUUGCUCGGAAUUAUUGGGCGUAAAGGGUGCGUAGGUGGGCAGGUAAGUCAGUGGUGAAAUCUCUGGGCUUAACCCAGAAACUGCCGUUGAUACUAUCUGUCUUGAAUGUAGUGGAGGUGAGCGGAAUAUGUCAUGUAGCGGUGAAAUGCUUAGAUAUGACAUAGAACACCAAUUGCGAAGGCAGCUCGCUACACUACUAUUGACACUGAGGCACGAAAGCGUGGGGAUCAAACAGG